rnacentral:tRNA from 1 species
UACAUUUUGGUGUAUAGAUGCACGGAAGUUUUUGAUUCUUCAGGUAUGGUUUGAUUCCAUAAUAUGUAA